CCCUAAGGCGAGGCCGAAAGGCGUAGUCGAUGGGAAACAGGUUAAUAUUCCUGUACUUGGUGUUACUGCGAAGGGGGGACGGAGAAGGCUAUGUUAGCCGGGCGACGGUUGUCCCGGUUUAAGCAUGUAGGCUGAUUAUCCAGGCAAAUCCGGAUAAUCAAGGCUGAGGUGUGAUGACGAGGCACUACGGUGCUGAAGUAACAAAUGCCCUGCUUCCAGGAAAAGCCUCUAAGCAUCAGGUAACAUCAAAUCGUACCCCAAACCGACACAGGUGGUCAGGUAGAGAAUACCAAGGCGCUUGAGAGAACUCGGGUGAAGGAACUAGGCAAAAUGGUGCCGUAACUUCGGGAGAAGGCACGCUGGUGUGUAGGUGAAG
rnacentral:rRNA from 1 species